rnacentral:tRNA from 1 species
GGUUGUGUGGUCUAAUGGUUAUGAUAUCUCGUUCACACCGAGAUGGUUCUGAGUUCGAUCCUCAGCACAAUCA